CAGUGAGGGAAUAUUGGUCAAUAGCCUAACGGCUGAACCAGCAAUUUGGAAGAACGUAUAGUUUAACGACUAAUUAUAUUUGGUUUACUUAAUAAAAUAAUUGAUAAACAUGUUAAUUAUUUUUUUUUAUUUAAUUUAUUGUUGUAAAAAAAAACAAAUAUAGUAUCGAUAUUCGAAUAAAGUUCUAGAUAGAUUUUGAUUAUGACAAUUUCUAUUCUAUAAGUCUUGACCAAAUUACGUGCCAGCAGUCGCGGUAAUACGUAAAAGACUAGUGUUAUUCAUCUUUAUUAGGUUUAAAGGGUACCUAGACGGUAUAAUUAGUCCAAAAUAGGAUACGAUUAUUCUAGAGUUAUAUAUGAGAAGGGGAGUAUUUAAGGAGUAGAGAUGAAAUUUGUUGAUACCUUGACGACUGGCAAAGGCGAAAGCAAUCUUUUAUCUAAUAACUGACGUUGAGGGACGAAGGCUCGGGUAACGAACAGGAUUAGAUACCCUAGUAGUCCAAGCAGGAAAAUUAUGAAUGCCACAGAUUAGAUAUAUUUAGUCUAUAAAUGAAAGUGGAAGCAUUUCACCUCAAGAGUAAUGUGGCAGCGCAGGAACUGAANCCAUUAGACCGUUUCUGAAACCAGUAGUGAAGUAUGUUAUUUAAUUCGUCAGCACGCGAAAAACCUUACCACAAUUUGAAUAAUAUCUUUAUGAUAUUACAAGCGUUGCACGGCCGUCUGCAGUUAAUGUUGUGAGAUCUUGGUUAACGCCAUUAAAUUAAGCGAAAGACCCUUGCUUUAUUUACAUAUUUUAUAAAUAAAGCAGUUCACCAUUAUAUUGGAUAUGAUAAUAGGGUAUAUGACAAGUCAUCA
rnacentral:rRNA from 1 species